rnacentral:rRNA from 1 species
AUGGCUACCACGAUGGAGAAGCUGGUGUUCUUGCUCUUAUGGGCUGCUGCUCUAAUGGAAGGUUCCAUGGUGAAGUCUCUCCCGUACGAUUCUUCCGCAAGCGUCGAGUGCUUGGUUGAGCCGAUGGAGCCGCACUACGGCGGCGGGCUCAUCGUCAACCCGGACUUCAGCGCCGGCCUCCGGGGCUGGUCGGCCUUCGGCUACGGCAGCGUCGCCGAGGGCGCGUCGGUGGCCACGGGGAACCGGUACGCCGUGGCGGGCAACCGGACGCGGCCGUACCACAGCGUCAGCCAGAAGGUGUACCUGCAGAACGACACGCACUACACUCUGUCCGCGUGGUUGCAGGUGAGCCAUGGUGCCGCCGCCGACGUGUGGGCGGUUGUCAAGACCGCCGACGACUUCGUUCACGUCGGCGGCGCCGUGGCCAAGCCCGGGUGCUGGUCCAUGCUCAAGGGCGGGUUCACCGCCGCCAACGCCGGGCGCGCCGAGAUCUACUUCGAGAGCAAUGCGACGGUGGACAUAUGGGUGGACAGUGUCUCGCUGAAGCCGUUCAGCAAGGAGGAGUGGGCGGCGCACCGGACGGAGUCGACCCGCGCCGUGCGGAGGAAGAUGGUGAGGCUCCAGGCCAAGGACUCCGGCGGGAACCCGCUGCAGGGCGCGGAGGUGUCGGUGGAGAACGUGCGCAGCAGCUUCCCUCUGGGCGCGGCCAUGAGCCGCGAGAUCCUGACCAACCCGGGGUACCAGCAGUGGUUCACGUCCCGGUUCACGGUGACCACGUUCGAGAACGAGAUGAAGUGGUACAGCACGGAGCCGGCGCCGGGGCGGGAGGACUACACGGUGCCGGACGCGAUGCUGGCGCUGGCGAAGCAGCACGGCAUCGGGGUGCGCGGGCACAACGUGUUCUGGGACGACCCCAAGCAGCAGCCGCGGUGGGUGCAGUCGCUCCCCUACCCGGAGCUGCUGGCGGCGGCGUCGCGGCGGAUCCGGUCCUUCGUGUCGCGGUACGCCGGGCAGGUGAUCGCGUGGGACGUGGUGAACGAGAACCUGCACUACUCCUUCUUCGAGCGCCAGUUCGGGUGGGACGCGUCCACGGCCUUCUACGCGGCGGCGCGGCUGCUGGACGCCGGGUCGGCGCUCAUGUUCAUGAACGACUACAACACGCUGGAGCAGCCCGGGGACAUGGCGGCGGCGCCGGGGAGGUACGUGGACCGGCUGCGGCAGAUCAUCGCGUCCUACCCGGAGAACGGCGCCGGCAUGGCCAUCGGGCUGGAGGGGCACUUCACCACCCCCAACAUCCCCUACAUGCGCGCCGCGCUCGACUCGCUGGCCCAGAUCGGGCUCCCCGUGUGGCUCACGGAGGUGGACGUGGCCGGCGGGCCGUCGCAGGCGCAGCACCUGGAGGAGGUGCUGCGGGAGGCGUACGCGCACCCGGCGGUGCAGGGGGUCAUCCUCUGGUCCGCGUGGCGGCCGCAGGGGUGCUACGUCAUGUGCCUCACCGACAACAACUUCAGGAACCUGCCGCAGGGGGACGUGGUGGACCGGCUGCUCGCCGAGUGGAGGACGGCGGCGCAGACCGGCACCACCGACGAGCAGGGCUACUUCCAGGCCGAGGUCGCGCACGGCGACUACAAGGUCACCGUCAGCCACCCCUCGCUCAACACCUCCGUCUCGCAGAGCGUCACGGUCGACCUCGGCUCCGGGAACCACUUCUUCAUCCAGGCCUAG